rnacentral:rRNA from 1 species
UACGGAGGGUGCAAACGUUGCUCGGAAUUAUUGGGCGUAAAGCGCACGUAGGCGGUUCGUUAUGUCGGAUGUGAAAGCCCUCGGCUUAACCGAGGAAGUGCAUCCGAAACUGGCGAGCUUGAGUAUGGAAGAGGGUCUCGGAAUUCCCGGUGUAGAGGUGAAAUUCGUAGAUAUCGGGAAGAACACCCGUGGCGAAGGCGGCUCUCUGGGACGGUACUGACGCUGAGACGCGAAAGCGUGGGGGAGCGAACAGG